GUAGGUGAACCUGCGGAAGGAUCAUUCUUGAAUUUACUAGUUGGUAGCUCAUGCUGCUGCUAAUAUCUCUCUCUUGUGAACAAACAAAGCUGCCGCUUGUCUGGGAGACUCAGCACUGGGUCCUGGUCAGGCUGCGGUUUUAUUACCCACUUUGAAUUUUGAUUUAGCUUAUUAAACACGUAUAUUGUAUAAUACACUAAACACAACUUUCAGCAACGGAUCUCUAGGCUCUC
rnacentral:misc_RNA from 1 species